ensembl:lncRNA LINC00710 long intergenic non-protein coding RNA 710
AGGAGGUGCCUGGAGUUUUGGAGAUGGGAUCCACAGGUCUCUUCACACCGAACGCCUCUUCCCCUCUUGUGCCAGCUUGAUGCUGACUUCAAUAUGUUUGGGCUGCUGGGCCCAUGGGAGGAGAAAGGCUGGGGGAAUUCAACACAACACGAAAUAAUCAACAAAUUCGGGGAAUGUUAAUCUGACCAUCACCAGUUACAAAUGAUGUUUCAUGCUACCUUCUAUUCCUGCCUUCAUAAAUCAAGGUAAUUACUUGGCAAUCUGGCUAUGCCUUGUAAGGCAAAAGAGCUGUUCAUUUCUUGUGUCAAAUGGUGAACAGGGAGGGAGAGUAAAAUGGUAAAUAACCCUGCCUCCCAUCUGUGCCCAAUCAGCUCUAAAUCUCCAGGAAAAAAUGUGCUCAGGAUGGCCAGAGAAAUGUCCUUCCAACUGUGCAUGGAAAGGUAUGAUUUUGUGCAGCAGGUGAAGGACUGGUUAGAGUAAGUGUGUGCUGAGCUUUUGUGUUUGAAAGCGAGCCUGUGCACUUCUAACGAUUGGAAGGUUUCCUUGCCUUCUCCGAUCUUACACACAGCAAGGACAGCAAAGCCUUCCAGACCUGCCUGUGACAUGCACUGCACAUUCUAAAGAUGCCUAUGCAAUGGAAAACACCACUGUCUGCUCCAGCACAGCUGCCAUUCUUCCAUCUUAUCGACCUUAAUGCAACAACUCCUCACAGGCAGAGAUUUUAAAAUGUGUUCUUGGCAGAAGAGAGACUCAAAGAUGGGACAAAUGUGUCAUUUAAAUGCCUGUUAAAAUGGAAACAGACAUAGUAUAGUCAGAGGAUUGUGGCAGCUAAGAACAUAGUCUCUGGAGCAAAUCUGCAUGGGUGGCAAUGCCAAGCACAUGAGGUCCUAGUUGUAUGAACUUAGGAAAAGAAAAAGAGAACAUAUAUCCCCCUACCUUUUGAUUUCCAACAGUCUACUGAGAGGCCAAGAUUAUUUGCAGGGAAAGAAAAGGGGUCAAAAUGUUUUGCCAGUAACUCCCAAAUCAUCUACAGCCAAGGAGAAAAGUGUUUCAAGACAGAGGUGCUCAAUGGUAUCAAAUACUGCCAACAGACCAAGUAAUACAUGCAUUGAAGUGUCUACUGGAUCUAGCUAUAUGAAUUUUUAAUUUAGGACACUUAGGCCAUACUGAAGCAAGGUGACAAAAUGAAUAGCUACAAUGUCUCGUGAAUCUUGGGUUUCCAUUCACCCUGGUAUUCAAGAGAAAUUCUUGCAUCAUGGAAGUUGCAGUUGGAUAGGACUUUCUCAGCUGAACACUGUCAUCUGCCAGAGCUUCAGGCAAGAACCCAGAACAGAUGAAACCCCAGACAUGACAAAAUAAGCCAAAGAAUACCAGGCCAAGGUGUGAAAGGCCAGAUGAGAACAAGCAGCGUACACGAUUCUGUUGCCAACAGAUCUCCCCUAACAGUGUCGUGCACCAAAUUUCCACAGUGAAUGUCAGGAAAAAAUGGCAAUUGAGGUGGGUGGUCAAAAGAGAAGCACAGUCUAUGAUGAAGUCACCCCAGAGAAGUCCUUUUUCCGUUUUCUCCUGAGAAAUUACCAGAAGAAAUUAAAAUCCUUUUGAGUAUUGCAU